rnacentral:lncRNA from 13 species
AUUAUUUUAAGCUCUUUUCACUAAUGCAUGCUGAUGUUCUUUUUUAUCUUAGUGUUCAAUGUGGCACACGGCACAGGCGUAGAUGUUUAUUGAGCUCAAUGAUCUAUUGAGCUACUGAUUUCGAUGAUCAAUCUGAAAUGACAGAAUAAGCAUCUACACAUGUGCCCUGUACUCAGUAAGCAUCUACACCUGAUCAUCUAAUUGCUGAAGGUGAAUCUAGAAGAAAGCAAAAUGGAUCUGGAGUGGCCUAUGAAAUCUGGCAAAUCUUCACCAAUACUCUAUUUCCAUUUCCUGCCUGGAAACAGCUACAUGAAGGUAUGACUUUGAAUUGUUUUGCAAGGCCAGGUGACCUGCAGCUGGCUCAUGGUCAAUUGCUAGAGCCUCACUGGAGAUGUAAAUACUGUUCAUCUCUGCAGUUUUGUGUUACAUAGCUAAAGACCACAAAUAUGUAUGUAAUGCAUCUGAGAACACCAGUUCAUUGACUGUCACAUAUGCAGCAUAUGGAUACAGAAUGACAAUUAUUUGCAAGGAAAACCAAUUUAAUGACAGAGAAACAAAUACAUAGUGGUUAUGAGCUCUCGAUUUUGUGUCUAAAAAAUGGAUUCAAAAUUUUUUGUGCUAUUUAUUAGCUGCAUCUGUUUUCCUAUCAGUGCAAUGUACAUAAGGCUCUUGGGAUGGGGUUAUUGUGUAAGCUAAACAAAAAGAAGUAUGUAAAACAUUUGGCAUGGUGCCUAGAACAGAGUAAGACAUCAACUAGUACCUGCUACUAGUACUGAUGUCAAAGGAUGUGGCAUUCUAUUGUCUGGCUCCUCUCAAAAGGAAAUUAAAACCUAAAUUUAUCUCAUGUCAGUAUCAUCU